rnacentral:rRNA from 1 species
GUGAUGGCCUACCAAGGCUUUGACGCGUAGCCGGCCUGAGAGGGUGGACGGUCACACUGGGACUGAGACACGGCCCAGACUCCUACGGGAGGCAGCAGUGGGGAAUAUUGCACAAUGGGCGCAAGCCUGAUGCAGCGACGCCGCGUGAGGGAUGACGGCCUUCGGGUUGUAAACCUCUUUCGCUCAUGGUCAAGCCGCAGCUUUGGGUUGUGGUGAGGGUAGUGGGUAAAGAAGCGCCGGCUAACUACGUGCCAGCAGCCGCGGUAAUACGUAGGGCGCGAGCGUUGUCCGGAAUUAUUGGGCGUAAAGGGCUUGUAGGCGGUUGGUCGCGUCUGCCGUGAAAUCCUCUGGCUUAACUGGGGGCGUGCGGUGGGUACGGGCUGACUUGAGUGCGGUAGGGGAGACUGGAACUCCUGGUGUAGCGGUGGAAUGCGCAGAUAUCAGGAAGAACACCGGUGGCGAAGGCGGGUCUCUGGGCCGUUACUGACGCUGAGGAGCGAAAGCGUGGGGAGCGAACAGGAUUAGAUACCCUGGUAGUCCACGCUGUAAACGUUGGGCACUAGGUGUGGGGGCCACCCGUGGUUUCUGCGCCGUAGCUAACGCUUUAAGUGCCCCGCCUGGGGAGUACGGCCGCAAGGCUAAAACUCAAAGGAAUUGACGGGGGCCCGCACAAGCGGCGGAGCAUGCGGAUUAAUUCGAUGCAACGCGAAGAACCUUACCAAGGCUUGACAUGCACGGCGGCACUGCAGAGAUGUGGUGGCAUUUAGUUGGUCGUGUGCAGGUGGUGCAUGGUUGUCGUCAGCUCGUGUCGUGAGAUGUUGGGUUAAGUCCCGCAACGAGCGCAACCCUUGCCCUAUGUUGCCAGCACGUGAUGGUGGGGACUCGUGGGGGACUGCCGGGGUU